rnacentral:lncRNA from 1 species
CGUUCAUUACUAUUAUUAUUAUUAUAACCAUAGGAAUCUUCGUAGCUUUUCUCUCCCAGGCAUCACUGUGGGCCUCAAAGAUCUCACCAUCCCAUUUAAGUUAGCCGUUUGUAGAUGUUUGCGAAAUCGUCAACUGCCAUAGCCGUCUGCUUUAAAACCUUUAGCCGCUAUCCUGAUUUUUCGUGUAAAUAUAACUCGUGUGUGACACAAACGCUUGUGUGAUUGUGUACAGCGUGUGUGCGUGCAUGUGCGAUCAUUGGAGUAAGUGGGCUACUGCAGAUAAACAGGUAAUUGUUUGUGUGGUCAUCUGCUGCUGUAACUACGAGUAGCUCCGUUCAGUUGACGAAUGCAUUCUUGCGUUAUCGAGACUCCGACGCAGAAGACAUGCUACCGCUCCCGACAAAACUACCUGUUCCUUUUCGCGGACCAUCGGCCUUCGUAACAUACGACAAUACGUUGCAACCGAUCGCAUAUUACGGGGGAUAAAACAUGGCAAACCACAAAGGAAUGUGUUAACCGCAAUAUUGUCUGAGAGCGAAAGAAACUCGGACGGUCGAUAGUUGCAGCUUGCACGCGAGAAUACACGGAGGGCAGAGAGAACACGGGCUGAAGAGCAAGGAGGAGUCAGAAAGCGCCCGAAAACGCCGAGAUACGAGGCCUAUAGGGGCUGAAUGCCCGCCUAGCCACAACCAAAACAAGCUGUGAGGCACUACAGCCCCGCCGCUGCCAUCGUCGUUACCAUCACCAACCUCCUAUUCGAUCAUUCGAUAUCGAAGCGCGAAAGCUGAUAGCGGAACUACGAAACGGAGAAGACAAGAAUGUGUUCCACUCAAUGCGAUGAGCGGUUUGAGGCAAUCAUGAUUUGAUAUAGGGUAGAGCAUUCGCUCGGUAGGGACUGCCCGCGCCCCUCUCUGUCACGAAUCCACGAAAAUAAAUAAUCGUAGUGAAACAAUUCGAAUAGGACUAUACACAAGUUAUGUUACGGAGGCAAGCAGUGCAGGCAUGUGCGUACAAAGCAGUACGCGUCGAACAAUUAAUGGUCAACGUACCGCAAUAUCGUUCUGAAUCGAACAAACAUUUGCAGAGAAAAACACUUAAUAAAUAAAAUUCAUAGACGUUAAUUCUGUUAACCCACCAAGUAGCAACGACUACUUUGAAACAGCAUAUCCCGAAGAUAUAUUUUCUACUUCGAAGAUACGUAUGUUAUGCUCGAUAUGUCGUCAACGUAUGAAACAUCGCAUUAACGGAUAUUCAAAGGGAUCUUUAUGCACAUUUCAUAUCUCCGACAGGGAUGAAUAAGCGCCUGAAGAAUUAUCUGGCGCUAGUAGCGUCUCUGAGUUCUUGAGCAGGGCUUCCACCAACCAGUCGUUGUAUUUCAUUGUCAGCUCGUGUUUCCGUUGGCAUCAGUAGCGGGUAAUGGACGCAAUUAAGACGCUCGGAUGCCAUAUAAAAAGUGCGUGGUAGAAGCUGUUGGCUCGAAACGGGUCGUAGCAUAGGAGUACGUGGUAGACACAGGUGCGGUUACCGCAGACGAUAACAUUUAGAAGGAUCGUCUCUCAGUAGCCCUUGCUGGCUAGCUAAGAUAGUGCUAUGACGGGAGGAGAGAACGAGGAAUGUCCGAGACAUGUUUGCGUCGUACCUAGAGCCGUUCCACGAUCCUAUUGGCCCGUAUUCCUACUAGGUGCCUUUUUCUGCGCUCUUUUUUGUGCACGUAGUUCAUCAAAACUGUUUGCACGUCCAACGUUUGACCAGCGUCGAGCGCCGCCGCCAUUCGAAUGCUAAGGGCAGACCGCCGGUUCGGUUUCAGCCGACUGGUCGGAUAGCCUUAGUAGGAAAUGGCUCUUUUAAGAAAGGCCGAAUGACCACCUGCGCCCUUUCACUCGUAGCUGGUAGAACCCUGAAGCGUUACCCUCACUCCAAGACCACCAUCAGCUCGCACAGAAUAUAUGCUUUUGAAUCUUCAAACAUACAUGUACAUACGUAUGACUGAUAGUAGCAGUAAAUAUAUAUAUACAAUAUGUAACGAGUUAUAAUUUUCUAAAUGUUCUUUCGUAUAACUAAUUAGAAGGACGAUCGGAUUGAGAUUAAUUUUACAACAAAGAAAAUUUAUUUUAAAACACAAUUAAGCAUAUUAGAAUGUAACAGAACUACAAAGGCGAUACCGCAAGAAACUUCAGGCAAAUCCAUCUACGCGACUACAAUUAAUCGGACAAGAGGAAUGUUUGAAACGGAAAGAACUUUUCGUGAUGUUUAUAGGUAACAUUCUGGAAAACCUAGGACAGCGCUUUUAUCAUUUUUAUAGUUAUUAGUAGCAGUGGAAGUAAUACGAAGAAUGUAAGUGAUCUCGCUUGUGGCCCUUUGCCUGUUAGUGCUACAUGUCCAUCUUGUACUCUAGCACUAGCUACCUAUCUAUCUAAAGUUUGGUGUGUUUUUCGUUUUGCCUCGCCCUUCGAGUUUUUACAAGGGGAGAACACUUUUUAAUUCGCCGUAGCUAACCACGUUCCUGAGAUGUGUGGGCUACUUGCGCCGCAUCCUCUUUCCUUCUAUUUAUGUCACUCUUCGAAUGGGCAAUUAUGACCAUUCGAUGUUUUAUCGAAGUACAUAUCCGCGUUUGUGUACUUUGGAAUGUGUCGUAUUAAGAUUAUAGAUCUGCGUUGGACUGCCAGGCAUGGACAGGCGCAAUCGGACCUUCUUCAUUACCUAGGACUGUCACUGUGAUGAUUCCAACUAUUCAUCCAUUUCCCACAGCCAUUUUUCAACGGGCUAUAGGCAAAAAAGAAAAGCCGUAAAUUAACGGAGUUAAAUUUUUUACUGGGCUUGAUGAUAGACUUUGUCCACUCUCUUAGUUAUCCUACUAGGCUAAUCAGACAGACAGAGAAAAAAGGCCCCUUGUCCAACCAAGAGAACGACGAAAUGUCCCAUUCUUUUUGUAGGUCACUUAGCCUUAUGGGCUUCUUCGCCAAUUCGGCUACUAGGUAACGCGGGAGUACUUUGCAACUAUUCAUGGUCCUUUGCGUUGGCUAUUUGUGAAACUCGCAUCUGACAUGCUACUUAUAUCAAUGAUAUAGGGUAGCAUGCAAGAAAGAAAAUAGGAUCUAAGUCUAGUGGGGCCGACAUAGUCCUUAUAAACCAUAUCAAGAUAUUUGAGCGAUAUCUGUGUUUCUGUAGCCAGAGACACCCAGGGAUACUAAUAACCUUUUUUUAAGCUGCUCCAAAACGCAUUUUUCGUAUGAGCCUAAGCAUAAUCGUUAUGUUUUGUCAGCCACAGCUUUCUCAUUUUCGUUCGCGGUACACCUUUUCACUAACUUUUCCGAUACUGUGGCCAUCAUAAACUGAUAUCGUUCUCUUCCUGUCUCUAGGUCUUCAACGAAGUCUCAUCUCCAACCUCAUUGCUCGCUUCCCGCUUCCGCUCAAGCUUUGCAAAGUUUUUGUCAUUGCUCCACUUCUAUGAAAAAGCCCCGUUCAAAAUAAAGGCGGGCUCAAGUCUUUACGAGCACUCAUCUUGUCUGGGCCGUCCUCUUCUAUGUAUAACUGUUUCCUUUUCUUCAACAAAAAUGAACCCUCCUUCAGACUUACGGCUUUCUUUACCGCAUACAUUCUUUGGCAAGCUUGUCCUUAAGGCCAAAAGCUUACGGCGCAGCCCUAAUCCAAAACAGAUUACCCCUGGAUGUAAAGUUUAUCGCUCGCCGAAACGACUGGGAAAGGAAGAUGGGCCUUUGUGAUCAUGUUUGUCGUACGCACAGACCGCACUUAUUUCUAAAUAAAUAGACAAAGAAACAGGAGAGGGUUCGUCCUAGACGAACGUGUUUUUUUGUUGAUGACUCGGUAAUUGCUGUGGAAAGCAUUCUGUUCCUAUUGAAUUUUUUUCUCGUUAACUUUAUUGCUCGUAGAAAUCACGAAUGUAUGAUUUUUCAUCAUACCUUAUAUCUUGUUACAUCUUAUUUCUCGUUCUUGUUCUGUUCGCACGCGUUUACUUGUCCUGUCUUCCUGGAAGCUAAAAAUGACAAAAAAUAAUGCCGUGAAGAGGGGCCCAUUUAGUACAGCUCAGACUGUCGAUGCAAAAAGUCAUAGACACAAAGAAGUUGCCAUACGGAAAAAUCUAUUGUCGUUAUUAUAAUGAAAUUAAAGUCAGCACUCGACUAAAGCGGACUGCGAUUGAAAAAAGGGGAUUACAAUGUGACUGAAGAUGCAAAGGCACUAGGUGCUCUCUUAAUAUUCCCAUAUAUAUAUGAACCAAACUGUGUCUGAUUCGUUUCAAAGAUCGUGAUGGAAAACGUCAUCAGAUCACUAAUGUAAUGUUACCUUACUAUUGCCGAUAGCUUUUUAUGACGACUGAUUAGCGCACCACUCAUAUAAAUACAAGGUAAUGAAGCUUGCAUUUCCCUGAUGAACUUGAAUUUCUUUUGAAGAACUAUGAAGUGGUUAUUUAUAUGACAAGAGGGUGGUAAAUAAGACAGAAUUCAGUUUUUUCCUGGAACGGAUAUGGUCUACUUAGAACACUGACGUCGCAGCAACAGGUUACUUUCUUCUCUUUCAGGUGCACCAAGGAAAAAGCCAGGAGUCAACUUUCAGGAAGAUCUGAAUGCCGUAGUAAAGUCUUACUAUUAUAGAGUGUCUAGAACUCUUUCUUAGUGCGAAAGCACUGUCUUCCAGUUUCAACAGCGUCGUUCAUUCGUAUUGUGCAAAAGCAGGCACAAAGAGACAUCUAAAAGGACACACAAGGGUGGACGAAGAGGAAAGAAGGACAGGUCGAAACAUCUAAAGCGGAUUGCGAGGACCCGGAGGUAGCACUCGAGCAGUUGCUGCUGUGGUUUUGGUUACAGACGGAGAACGACGGCGGCAGGCCAGCCCGCUCGCUCGAAUUGAGUUUGGUGGUAGGGGCGGCAGUUGCUGGCAGCUCCGGCUGCUGCUACUGCUACCCAGUUCGCUCGAAAAGGGACCAGUCGUCUCCCGACCCUCUCACGCACCGCGCGCAGGCCCUCGAAGGAGGUUGUUCGCUGCUCGUUCAGCUGCUGCCCGCUGCUACCGCUCAGCUUGCAAACCCUGCUCCUCUUCUGCUCGCUGGUUGUUCGGCUCUGCCCAGCCCGCCACCACGACCACACGGCCUGUCUGUCUGUCCGCCUGGAUGUUUGACCGUCCGUCUGCCUUUCUGCCAGUCAGUACCCACUCGGCUCGCCAGCUCUCUGCUGUCGCCGCUGCUGCUGGUGGCGAGGCACUGCUUGUAGCACAGAUCUCUCGUCAGAAGCAACUGCUAGAUAGACAGACACGCAAAAAGGCAGAGAGAAGCAAAGCAACGGAAGGCAACGAAAGCCGACCAGGCUACAGCAUGAGGCAGAGAGCGCAGAGGAACAUCGCCGCUACACACAGACGGACGGAUGACCAACCGGCCGGCCGGCUUGCAUGAUGCACGAAUUUCGCCUGGCUAAGACACGACUCUCAGAGAAGGGCACAUACAUGUAGGUCCGCACUCACUCAGGCAGGAGUUGAACACAAGAGUAUGGCAAACACACGGCCGUCAGGAAGCUCACAUCGUAGACAGACACCGAGUCAGACGCUUGGAUAGAUCUUGCACACUCAUACACCUCGUAGAGACACACAGUCAGGAGUGCGCAACAGACUCUGACCUUCUCAGACGUACCGGCACACAGCCACAUUGGGAGAGAACCGGUAUGAGAGCGGUUAGCAAGGGCUCUUACACCUGCAUCCCGACCAGCAGACUCAAGAUUAUUAUGGUCCGCUCUUGGCUUUGUCAGCAGCAGCAGUAUGUGCACUACGGGGAUGAGCUGCGUGUAAUAGUCGUUGAAUGCCGGCUGUCAUAGAUCCGGUCUGUUCGGUAGUAUAUAAUCCGAGCAGGCGGUUCUAUACGUGCGUACGACACUUUUAUUUCAGGCCGCCGUUAGGCACUGAAAGCACCCUUGACAGGCGACAACAAGGCUAGUUUGCGCGCGCAUGCCAAUGACCCUCGCAGCCCCUCUCGACAGGACCCUUUGCAACGCUCCCUGGUGACUGGCCUGGUCAACUCCCUACAGGUGGUUGUUUGAUCGCCACGGGUAUUUCGGUCGCGGUAACGAAAAUGGCAACGGUGAUUACAGCAGUAGCACAAACGGGGCAGCUGCCUCCGGUGCGUGCUUCUUCCUGUUGCCUUGACUGCCUGCCUGCAGCACGCAUCACCGAUUGGUUAUCUUGCUUAGUAGCGUCUUGGAUUGCCUCGGCAGGUGGUGUCUACAUCUGUGACAAUAGCGGCCGACACAGCCAGCUACUGCUGUUUGCGAGUGCCUGUGCCCCCGACAAUCGCUGGCUACGGCCGACCCAAGUCAUUUGUCAGUGUAGAACGAUCUAUUUCUUACGCCCCAUUUUUCGGCGACACUUCCCGUGCAAAUGCAUUCCGCUGCACGCCGUAAAUACGGCUGGUCUGUCAACCCGUGGGCAAGGGCUAACUCAGUUACGACUGGUGGAACCGUCGCGGUAGGCUGUCGAAAUUGACACAUCAUCAUUUCGGAUUUGCAAGCAAUGGCGGUCAACACUUUGCUUUACGUUGAUCAUGGGCGUUACAAUGCCAACGAUUUUGUCAAUGACAUUACGAGCAAUUUUAAAUACAAUACUGUACACGACUGCGAUCAACAAAAAGGUUCACUCCGGAAUUAGCCAAUGCAAACAAUAUAUCAUGCUCGUCUUAUAGAGCUAAACAUGUGCUAGCAAGAAAUAGUACACAGGGCAAUUGAAAUGAUUCAAUUUUACUAUAAGAUACGCUACAAUAAAGACUACAGUUUUGCAUACCGCGAUCACUCCAAAGGUAGAUAAUAGGAAAAUUGAUCAUGGAACAUUGGCUGUCACAGGAUCAAAGGGAAAAACUGCGUCCGCUAGCAACCAGACGUAGCGCUCUCGAAGUCCCCAUCCCUAACGUGAAAUAAAGCCUUAAAAAAGUGUUUGCUCUCUCGCUGUUUUGUAAAUGGCGCAAGGGUUGUUCGAUCCGACGCUGCAAAUUAUUCACAAAAGCACUUGCAUCCAUUUGUCUGUAAUACCAAUCAACCAGAAUACAUUCAAAUUUACUGUACAUCAUAGGAAUAACCUGAUGGUUGGAAAUAGUGUGUCAGUUUGUUCGAAGUAUCGAUCUAAUGAACCAUGCUUACUUAGGUUCGAUGUAAUGCCACUGGAUGAUGUGCGCCUCGCGUUCGAACCAGACUAUACCACACUUCACUAUCAUGCUUUUUCAAGCCAUGCAGGACCCUCGAUGCGCUUAGGAUGUAUUUAAAUAUCAAACACCUGUGCAUAGCGUGUCUUAUGUCUUGCACAGUAUAAAGGGGAUUUUUCCCUUUAUUUGUCUUAUUUUAAUGAUAAAUUGAAACGAAUGCUUUGACAUAAGUCAAACGACCCUUCAAUUUAAUUGCAAGCAAGCAGCACACAACAACAGUUGUAAGUGACGUAUGAUUGUCGCUUCACAAUGGCGGGAUCCGCUCACCACAGACCCCACAGACUCACGCUGUUAAAAUCCCUGUCGACACGAGCAUCUGAACUGCUGCACAUGUGCCGUUGAAAACAUCUGUUGCCUUCUUACCUUAUCGUUGUUCGAUGACGUCACUAGCCACUAGUUGCGUCAUUCGUAACAGGCGAUUGCGACGUCACCGAAAAGAUACACGUCACUUACAUACACUCGAGGACAAAGGAGGCAGGCAAAUAUGCCUGAUCGGACCAUGCACGUCUCCUGAAUCUUAUACCUUUGUCUUAACGACAAAAAGAAGCAAUAGCGCUUCAGCUUUCACGGUUACACACAGGAACGGGAGUCUUCAGUAUAUCUUCUCGGAUGCUGGGUGACAUAACACGUCGUAAUCCUCCAGAGAAUGAGCUGACAAUUUUAAUAAAAUACAAUGGAUCUGCAAUUAUUCUGUAAAGAUCAUCUACGAGAUGCGCCUUUCUCCAUAGUAAAUAAGUAUAAACAGUUCUAUGAGAAGCUACAUUUCAUUUAUCAGCAUCCACUCAUUAUGAGUUGUUGUCUGUACAGAACACCGAAUUUAGAAAAGCAAAAGGAGUAUUUUUGGCUAUACAUGUAAUAUUCUGUAUGGGAAAUAUAAGGAUGCUCGCAGGGAUCGUUACGUGAUUUUUAUUUAUUGCUUCCUUAUCGUCCAUAUGUUGAUGAUUAACUGUUGUCCGGUUUGACGAAUGUGGGCUUGUCAUCGUUUCGUGUUGGCCGCAAAACGUCUCGUGCGCUUCGGUCUAGUAUGUCGAAUAGCAGAAAAAUGAAUUUUCCGAAAAUGGCUUUAACGCUGCUUCAGAAUUGAUUAUCAGCGAGUGAGAGAUUGCGGAGAACAGUAACCAAAAAUUGCUAUUAUUUUUUUAAUAACGCUAUAUUAUAUCCAAUAGAAGCUUUUAGACGAUGAAUUUUAACAUUGUUUCAUUCUAUUCGACGGCGUCAGAAUAGUGGGCUACGUUUUAAGCAAUUGCAUAGAUGGUCUAGACCAUACAGUCGUAGAGAAGGGUUUCCUAGAUGAUGAUAGUUGGGGUAGAUGGAACCUGAGCUCGAGAGGUUCACAACCUCGGUCAAUAUCAAAAGCUCAUUACGGGUUGCCUAAGCGACAAUCCUGACAGGUUCGCAAUGUCGAUCAGUGUCUCAAGGCAUCAACAAAGAGUAGCUGCUAUGCGAUGGGCAAAUGAACAAUUGAAUUGAUUUACCGUUCUUGUGCUUUACUUAGUAAAUACAGUAUGCGCUGCCUUUAGUAGGACUCGUUCAAAUUACUUCUUAGACAAGAUAAAGAUAGCGAAAACAGCAGAAAAUGCAACAUCGAUGAUGUAUUUUAUAAACUGCAUAUCACACAAAUUAUAGAGACCAAUUCCACCUCCCGCAAACCUCACGUGUAUUAUGAGAUCCGGAAAUCCACAAGCAAAAAAAAAAUAAACAGAUACAAUAUAAAGAUUGCUGGAGUAACAUUUUGUUGAUGUUGUAAUAAGGCACAAAAAGGGACGGCAAAAUACAUGGAAAAUUCAUUUAAGAAAACGUA